UCGAGCGAGAGACUUCGGGUCUCUAGCGGCGGACGGGUGAGUAACACGUGGGUAACCUGCCUCAUAGAGGGGGAUAGCCUUCCGAAAGGAAGAUUAGUACCGCAUAACGUAUCUCUGGCGCAUGCCAGAGAUAUCAAAGGAGUAAUCCGCUAUGAGAUGGACCCGCGGCGCAUUAGCUAGUUGGUGAGGUAAUGGCUCACCAAGGCCACGAUGCGUAGCCGACCUGAGAGGGUGAUCGGCCACAUUGGAACUGAGAUACGGUCCAGACUCCUACGGGAGGCAGCAGUGGGGAAUAUUGCACAAUGGGCGAAAGCCUGAUGCAGCAACGCCGCGUGAGUGAUGAAGGCCUUCGGGUUGUAAAGCUCUGUCUUUGGGGACGAUAAUGACGGUACCCAAGGAGGAAGCCACGGCUAACUACGUGCCAGCAGCCGCGGUAAUACGUAGGUGGCAAGCGUUGUCCGGAUUUACUGGGCGUAAAGGAUGCGUAGGUGGAUAUUUAAGUCAGAUGUGAAAUACCCGAGCUUAACUUGGGUGCUGCAUUUGAAACUGGAUAUCUAGAGUGCAGGAGAGGUAAGUGGAAUUCCUAGUGUAGCGGUGAAAUGCGUAGAGAUUAGGAAGAACACCAGUGGCGAAGGCGACUUACUGGACUGUAACUGACACUGAGGCAUGAAAGCGUGGGGAGCAAACAGGAUUAGAUACCCUGGUAGUCCACGCCGUAAACGAUGAGUACUAGGUGUAGGAGGUAUCGACUCCUUCUGUGCCGCAGUUAACGCAAUAAGUACUC
rnacentral:rRNA from 1 species